UACAGAGGGGGCAAGCGUUGUUCGGAAUUACUGGGCGUAAAGGGCGCGUAGGCGGCCUGCUAAGUCGAACGUGAAAUCCCCGGGCUCAACCCGGGAACUGCGUCCGAUACUGGCAGGCUUGAAUCCGGGAGAGGGAUGUGGAAUUCCAGGUGUAGCGGUGAAAUGCGUAGAUAUCUGGAGGAACACCUGUGGCGAAAGCGGCUCUCUGGACCACAACUGACGCUGAGGCGCGAAAGCUAGGGGAGCGAACGGG
rnacentral:rRNA from 1 species